rnacentral:rRNA from 1 species
CGAAAGCCUGACGGAGCAACGCCGCGUGGGGGAAGAAGGUUCUUGGAUUGUAAACCCCUUUUCUCAGGGAAGAAGUUCUGACGGUACCUGAGGAAUCAGCCUCGGCUAACUCCGUGCCAGCAGCCGCGGUAAUACGGAGGAGGCAAGCGUUAUCCGGAAUCAUUGGGCGUAAAGCGUUCGUAGGCGGCUGUUCAAGUCUGCUGUCAAAGACCGAGGCUCAACCUCGGGUCGGCAGUGGAAACUGGAUAGCUAGAGGUCGGUAGGGGCAAAGGGAAUUCCCAGUGUAGCGGUGAAAUGCGUAGAUAUUGGGAAGAACACCGGUGGCGAAAGCGCUUUGCUGGACCGAACCUGACGCUGAGGGACGAAAGCUAGGGGAGCG